GGAGGGAUCAUUACCGAGUUUUCAACUCCCAAACCCCAUUGUGAACGUUACCACACCGUUGCCUCGGCGGGAUCGCCCCGGGCGCGUCGCAGCCCCGGACCCAGGCGCCCGCCGGAGGACCAGUAAACUCCAUUGUAUUUGUGUACCUUACUUCUGAGCUUUCUCGGCGCUCCCAGCGAGCGUUACGAAAAUGAAUCAAAACUUUCAACAACGGAUCUCUUGGUUCUGGCAUCGAUGAAGAACGCAGCGAAAUGCGAUAAGUAAUGUGAAUUGCAGAAUUCAGUGAAUCAUCGAAUCUUUGAACGCACAUUGCGCCCGCCAGUAUUCUGGCGGGCAUGCCUGUCCGAGCGUCAUUUCAACCCUCGAGCCCCCCCGGGGGCCCGGCGUUGGGGAUCGGCACCCCGCCCUCAAAAGCGGGAGCCGGCCCCGAAAUGCAGUGGCGGUCUCGCCGCAGCCUCUCCUGCGCAGUAGCUUGCACACUCGCACCGGGAGCGCGGCGCGGCCACGCCGUGAAACACACCAAACUUCUGAAAUGUUGACCUCGGAUCAGGUAGGAAUACCCGCUGAACUUAAGCAUAU
rnacentral:rRNA from 1 species